rnacentral:tRNA from 1 species
GUGACUUAGUGGUAGAGUUCUUGGCUUAAAUGCAAAAGGCCCUGGGUUCGAUCCCCAGC